ACGGGAGGCAGCAGUGGGGAAUAUUGGGCAAUGGGGGAAACCCUGACCCAGCAACGCCGCGUGAAGGAAGAAGGUCUUCGGAUCGUAAACUUCUGUCCUCAGGGAAGAGAAAGAGACGGUACCUGAGGAGGAAGCCCCGGCUAACUACGUGCCAGCAGCCGCGGUAAUACGUAGGGGGCAAGCGUUGUCCGGAAUGAUUGGGCGUAAAGGGCGCGUAGGCGGCUCGGUAAGUCUGAAGUGAAAGUCCUGGCUUCAAGUUGGGAAUUGCUUUGGAUACUGUCGAGCUUGAGUGCAGGAGAGGUAAGUGGAAUUCCCAGUGUAGCGGUGAAAUGCGUAGAGAUUGGGAGGAACACCAGUGGCGAAGGCGACUUACUGGACUGUAACUGACGCUGAGGCGCGAAAGUGUGGGGAGCAAACAGGAUUAGAUACCCUGGUA
rnacentral:rRNA from 1 species